CAAGAUCAAUUUCACCAUUCACAUCGCAAGCAUCCAGUUUGUUCCCGAUUGGUCCCUCCCCUUUCAGCAGUGUAUGUUCAUUGGCACUUCGAGCUGUCAAUCGGAGCAUAGACGCAUGUUUUGGUUUUCAGAAUUGAUGUUAUAGAAAACUCAUAAAAUUGCAGCUGAAACGGGAGAGAGGAUGCGGUCGGUAAGAACACAUUUAACAGCCUGUUUGACGCAGAAGUUGAGAGUCACCAUUCAAUCAAAAUAUCCUCUCUAUCUUGCUUUGGAGGGUUUAAAUAGGUAAAAGAAACGAUAAAGGACUAUAUUGUACGUGGACUGACAUGCACACUUGGAAGUCAGAGGUCCAGAUGCAGAAGCCUGCAUCGCUCUUUGGCAGGGUCAGUCAUCAGACAGAUUUCACCGAGCUGACUUUCUCCAUGUUCAGCAGUAAAACAGACAUCUGCCCGAAACACGUCUCUUCUGACGGCUGCAGUAGUUCGAAUCCCGCCUCGAUACAGAUGCGCUGCGGAUCUGAAGAUCUCAAACUCCACGCGCAUCACACAUCCAAACUCCACUGCUUCACCAUGUCACCAGAUGGUAUUGAAUGGUGACUGAG